AACUUUCAACAACGGAUCUCUUGGUUCUGGCAUCGAUGAAGAACGCAGCGAAAUGCGAUACGUAAUGUGAAUUGCAGAAUUCAGUGAAUCAUCGAAUCUUUGAACGCACAUUGCGCCCGCCAGUAUUCUGGCGGGCAUGCCUGUUCGAGCGUCAUUU
rnacentral:rRNA from 2 species